GUUUGUGUCCCUGUGAGAACAUUUGAUACAAUUAGAACGAUACAAAGAAAAUUAGCAUGGUCACUGCACAAGGAUAAUUAUUUUGUUUGUAACAGAAUAUGGAGAAUA
rnacentral:snRNA from 1 species